ensembl:lncRNA
GGUGGGUUUGGCAGAGCGCUCAAAGCAGAUAAUGUAUGAGAAAUCAUUGAAAAAAAUAGAAAUAGUGGAUGAUCCUAAUAAUGGCCAUCAAUUGUUUCUGUCUACUACCUUUAAUUUCUCUCUUUUUUUUUUUCCUGGUAAUAGAUUCCAUUCCUUGGACCAUAAGGAUGGCGGACCUAUGACCCAAGGCCACCUCAUCCAGACCUUCCUUCUCUUUCCCUUUUUCUCCUCCUUUUGCAUGGUAUUGGAAUAGUUGGUGACUGCUAGCCUGUUUCCUGGAAGGAGAACCGCUCCGAUGAAAAGAAACGCACGUGGCAACGAGGGGUAAGUGACUAGUUCUAAGCCACAUUUUUGCAUGCUCUGUCUGUCUUGCAGUGCAGCAUUAUGUAGGAAAUAUCUAACAUACAAGGCCACAGAGCAUAGGGAUAGGAGCCGGGCUCCGGAAGCAUAUUGCCUGCUUUCAAACUCCUGUGUCAAUAGCUAAUAGUUGUGGUAACUUUGGCCUAGUAACUAAAGUCUCUGUGCCUCAGUUUAUCAUAGGAUUGUUGUGAAAGGAGAUAAUACAUACAAAACCCUUAGUAUAGUGCUUGCAUGUAGUAAGCAUUCACUAACUAUUAUGAGUUAUUACUCAACUAUUAUUCACACUAAUAGAAAAGUCUGGAAGGAAAGAGUGUUUUUGUCUAAAUGGUGGAUUUCAGGGGAUUUUUAAUUUUUGUUCCUGAUACUGUUCUGUAUUUUCCAAGUAUCCUACAAUGAAGCAUGUAUAGCUUUGACAAGCAGAAUGUAACCCAUUUCAUUAAAAUUAAAUCAGUGUUCUUACUCUCAAAUAACCAUGCAAAUCAAGAAGGAUCUUAAAUGGGGGCAUAUGAAACCAUCAAAAAGAACACCUGCCACUGGCUCUCAGUGUGACUAGGAUGUGGGCAGUCACUGUACCUCUCAGAUUCCACUCAAGCAGGAGAAUUCUUGGGCUGGUGUUUCUUCCAGAAUUCCGAGGACAAAGUGAUGUAAUGAUGGAUGAGAAAAUAUUUUGUACAUAUGAGCAGAUAGGAUUAUAAUAAUUAGCCUCAGAUUCUUUGAAUUUGGCCAGGCAAAAGGAGACUGGGUUACUAACAGUUGUGCUUUCUGAAAAGGCAGGACUUGGGCUCAGAGAUAUCAGGCCAGAGGCCAGUUGGGCAUUUUGAGUUGAAACUAGAGCUUAGAGAGAGACAAUGGUACUGGGCGCCUGUCCUGAGGGUGUGGGAAGAGAAGAGGGA